UUGAACAAAACUGGCCCCAGGACCGACCCUUCGGGCACUCCACUUGAUACCGGCUGCCAACUAGACAUGGAGCCAUUGAUCACUACCCGUUGAGCCUGAUGAUCUAGCCAGCUUUCUAGCCACCUUUAUUUAAUAGAAUUGAAUACAAAAGAAUCAGAAGUCUUACGUUGAGUGAUAACCUUGGACAGAAGUACUUACAUCCACAGGAAGUUAUUAGCAAAAGAGGCUCAGAUGUCAUUAUUGUGGGACGUGGCAUCUUGUCUGCAUCAAAUCGUCCAGAGGAAGCAGAGAUGUACAGGAAGGCAGCAUGGGAGAGUUAUUUAAGCAGACUUGCUGUUCAUACACAAGACUAAUUCGAGCUUAGGAUUCCAGUGAACAAACUAACCCAAUGCAUUCUAGAAGAAGCCGGAUUAAUUAGGAGGAUGUUUCUCCCCAUUGGUUAGGUUGUCAUCUACUCUGAACUCAACUGAAUAUUUUGUUUUACAUAAAAUCUGCCAAUGACUACGUUUUUUAGUAAUGUGUAAAGGCUAAAUCACAUUAAUUGUGACCAUUGUUUCUUUGCAUGUGAGACUGUGAAACCAAAAAACAUUGCCCAACUUUAGUCUUACUUCUAACUGGUCCUCUAGUCUGUUACUUUGGAAAAUAAUAAAUGAAAACACUCCAGGUGGUACUUGCGGGUUAUUACUGACGUCUGGUAUUUCCUUUAGAUAUGGAAACAGUGCAGGUGGAGCUUUUUCAAUACUGUACAACAAAGCUAACCAUUCACUACAUUGAAUGGGACAACACAACUUUGUAGGGAGCACAAACCAGUCUGAAUCUGUUACUUAAUAAACAUUUGAAUUGACUCUCCUUUAAAUGUGAGUUUGUAUAUACAUAGUAUUUACAAAGGAGGGAAAAUAUCUUGGACUAAAAACUCAGGGUACGAUAAACUUAGGCCUUUAACUUUCAAUUACUGCCCCUUUCUGGUAUAUUUCUAACUGCUAUUGUGACUGGUAUCAAUUAUUGGUACCAUGGUUCCUCUCCAAAUUUGCUAUGACAAAAUUACAGCUGUAGCUAUUCGUUAACCCAGGGUGAAACUGAUUUGCAGUGGGGCUUGGUGGGUCUAUUAAUGAGAGGCAAAAGAACAAAGUCCUGAGGUUAUACCACUGUUGAAUUUCUAGUAGGCUGGUUAUUUUUAUGAAAAAUCUUUAGUACUUUUCCAUAUUUUUUCACCAUUUGAGAGUUUUAUUUAAAGGAUGUAAAAAUA